rnacentral:rRNA from 1 species
CAAUAGCGUAUAUUUAAGUUGUUGCAGUUAAAAAGCUCGUAGUUGGAUUUCUGCUGAUCGCUGUCGGUCUGCCGUCAGGUGUGUACUGGCAGUGUUUGGCAUCUAUUCGAGAUUGGGUGUCCACUUGAUUGUGUGCACUCGAUGUCGGAGCUAAUACUUUGAGAAAAUUAGAGUGUUCCACGCAGGCGCGUGCCUUGAAUACUGCAGCAUGGGAUAUUGGAAGGCCGAUUGAGCUUUCUUGUUGGUUCUCGGUUUGAUCGGAAUGAUUAAUAGGGAUAGUUGGGGGCAUUCGUAUUCAACUGUCAGAGGUGAAAUUCUCGGAUUUGUUGAAGACGGACUACUGCGAAAGCAUCUGCCAUGGAUGUUCUCAUUG